AGCUGGAUCCCGGGGGCUGCACUGUCUGCCCCGUGAGGGGCCAGAACCCCGUCAGCCAGCUGGAUCCAGAAGCCCGGGAAAGCAAGCCCUGAGUGUUGGGCCUUGAGCGUUAGGGAAGUGUCCAGAAAGCCUUUCUUACUUCCAGCGUCUUCAGAUAGCACUCCGGGUUCUGGCUCCACCCUCCUUGAGGCUGUGGACACCCCGGCCCUGUGACCUCCUCCCCGCACCUCCCUGCGGCCUGCAGACGAGGUGGGUGGAGAACGGUCGGCUGCCCUGGUCUGACAAGAGUCCCUAAAAUAGCUCUCAUCCAACGGGCAGAUUUAGCCUUCCCAAACCAUGCCCCGUCCUGGCAUCUGUGACAUACGGUCACAGAACACAGGGGCUUAGUGUUCCAUCUGGAAGGGUAUCGUUAGAGGUAGUCGAAGCUACGAAAGUCGCGGCAAAGACGGAGGCUGUGCUGGGAGAUGAGGCAGCCUUCUCUUGCAGCUCCAUACGCUUCGUGGGUGAAUGGUGGCUUCACGUCUGGCCUCAGAAGACUCUGCCCUUUACCAGAGGCUGGGUUUGUCCCUGAGCGCCCGCUACGCUGCGGAAAACUUGGGCCAAGGCUUCAAGUAGGACUUAACUCUUGGUCCCGAUACAGCUGUGUAUUCAUUCUUUAGGGUCCUCAAGAGACUCCUCCUGGGGUCCAGAACAGCCGCCAGGAUGGAUGUGCUCAACCUUCUGUCCUCACAAACCAUUAGACCCAGCCCCUCCCCAAGACUGGGAAAGCCCACGGAGUGUCUUCCUAUUAUUAGUUCUUUUCUAUUUAAUUGCACGAUUGCUUUUUUGCAUAUUUACAUAAACAUAUUCUUAUAUCUUUA